GUGGCGGACGGGUGAGUAAUGUCUGGGAAACUGCCCGAUGGAGGGGGAUAACUACUGGAAACGGUAGCUAAUACCGCAUAACGUCGCAAGACCAAAGUGGGGGACCUUCGGGCCUCACACCAUCGGAUGUGCCCAGAUGGGAUUAGCUAGUAGGUGGGGUAACGGCUCACCUAGGCGACGAUCCCUAGCUGGUCUGAGAGGAUGACCAGCCACACUGGAACUGAGACACGGUCCAGACUCCUACGGGAGGCAGCAGUGGGGAAUAUUGCACAAUGGGCGCAAGCCUGAUGCAGCCAUGCCGCGUGUAUGAAGAAGGCCUUCGGGUUGUAAAGUACUUUCAGCGGGGAGGAAGGCGAUGUGGUUAAUAACCGCGUCGAUUGACGUUACCCGCAGAAGAAGCACCGGCUAACUCCGUGCCAGCAGCCGCGGUAAUACGGAGGGUGCAAGCGUUAAUCGGAAUUACUGGGCGUAAAGCGCACGCAGGCGGUCUGUCAAGUCGGAUGUGAAAUCCCCGGGCUUAACCUGGGAACUGCAUUCGAAACUGGCAGGCUAGAGUC
rnacentral:rRNA from 1 species